rnacentral:rRNA from 1 species
UACAGGGGGUGCAAACGUUGCUCGGAAUCAUUGGGCGUAAAGCGCACGUAGGCGGUUCGUUAUGUCGGAUGUGAAAGCCCUUGGCUUAACCGAGGAAGUGCAUCCGAAACUGGCGAGCUAGAGUACUAAAGAGGAUCGCGGAAUUCCCGGUGUAGAGGUGAAAUUCGUAGAUAUCGGGAGGAACACCGGUGGCGAAGGCGGCGAUCUGGGUAGAUACUGACGCUGAUGCGCGAAAGCGUGGGGAGGAAACAGG